CAUUUUAAUUAUGAAAAAUGUAAAAAAAAAAGGGGUUUGUGUUCUUAAUAUGCAAUGAAUGUGAGCUGGUAGAUGUACAAAUUUGUUCUCGCAAAAUCUACAAAAUCUUUGGCAUUAAUCAAUGCUUAUUGAAUGCUUUGUACGGACUUUAAUUCAUGAAUGCUUUGUGCGGACUUUAAUUCAUUUUUGGGUUCAGAAAUCCAAUUUCUGUUGUAAAGAUUUAAGGUCACAGUAUUUUGAGCGUAGUACCAAGAUCAUUCAGUUGUUGUCUUCCUGCUACCAACAAACACGAAUAACCCUACAAGGAUUGUUGGUGGCGAGUAGAUAUGUUCCUGCUACCAACAAACACGAAUAACCCAACAAGUAUUGGUGGUGGCGAGUAGAUAUUUUGACAAGCGAGGCUAGGAUUAUGUGCAUGUGGGAUGCAGAGAUAAUCAUUCACAAACAUACCCAUUUCAUGUAAUGGGAAGGCCCUACUUUCUGCAUUUGCAUUUGACACUCUAGAAACUCUAGGAAUAUGAGACACCAUACCAAUCCUAAUUGUAGGAAACCACUACAUUUUUGUAGUAAAACUUUUUUCACCUAUUUGUCAUUGUAGAGACCGGAAUAAAAUGUCUUGGAUAGUUUUCUCUUGUCAUUAAAUUGUUUGGGUUCCCUCAUUUGCAGAGGAUUUCGAAAUUACUAUUUUUUUCUUUAUUUGGCUAAACGUAUUUAUAGAGGGUAUAAUUUAUUUGGCUGUUA